rnacentral:lncRNA from 1 species
CUUAUUGUUGUUACAUUUCAAUUGCAAAUAUUGAGCCUCAGUGAGUUUGGUCUGUUUGGAUUCUAUGCAAACAACUGCAAGUGAUAAUGUCAUGGAGCUCUCGAAGUCCCAAUGUUCAAUCCAAACUGAUGCCCAGUCAAAAAGGCUGUUCGUUGCUAGGAGUGAUAGCACUGGGGCCCAAACAGGCCCCACACAUUGGUGCUCAGCCCACAACACUGCAAGACUGCAUCUUGCCGUAGCCUCCUAGAGACACAAACUUCACCUGGACAUCAGCCCUGGUUCACACACACUGCUUGCUUGAUUCUGCAGGGCCACGAGGCUCUGGAUGGAUGAUAAGAAUCCAAUCUGCUAGUGCUUCCCAAUUCUGUGUCACCAGAGACAUUUGGGACAGGAUCUUAAUCGCCCCACAUCAUGUUUCAUUUCAUUUCAGAAGCCCUCUCCUCCUCUGGAUCAGGACACCACCUAUGAGUGCAACUUGGCCCUGCAGGACCAAAAGGGAAUGAGGGGGCCCUGACUCCGUUCCUGAAGGAGCCAACCUUGUAUGAGAGCAGCGUACCACAGUCUCUCUAUUCAGUUCUCUAGGGCAAAAUGAUUCGUAAUGCAGUUACUGACAGGAACCUGGUAAAGCAGGAGAUUGCCAUGAACUUGCAGUCGUGCCACCUCAGGCUCCUGUCCUGCCUGGACUAAACAAACAGGACUAAGGAAACAGCCUCCUUUCAGCAAACAGCAGCUUCUCAGUAAAUAGGAGAAAUGGACUCAAAAUGAAGUGUAUGACUCCCUGAUGCUCACAAGUCCUUGGACUCAGAAACAUUUCAUCCCAGAUGCCAUAGACCCUUCAAUACCUAUAUAAGCCUAAUUCCUUUCCUGGUUAGCUACUAAUAUCUCUCUCAAUGUCAGUUCAUCCACUCAUGGAUGAAAUCUCUCCCAGCUAGCUGCUCCCACCUCUCUCUCUCUCUCUCUUAAUGUCAGCCCAUCCAACAUGGAUGUGUUCAUGUCAGCUUUUCCCUGGUAGCUCCUAGAAUCUCCUGAUUUUUGUCCCUCUUUACUG